UUAAGUUAUUAAGGGCGCACGGUGGAUGCCUUGGCACUAGAAGCCGAUGAAGGACGUUACUAACGACGAUAUGCUUUGGGGAGCUGUAAGUAAGCUUUGAUCCAGAGAUUUCCGAAUGGGGAAACCCAGCAUGAGUUAUGUCAUGUUAUCGAUAUGUGAAUACAUAGCAUAUCAGAAGGCACACCCGGAGAACUGAAACAUCUUAGUACCCGGAGGAAGAGAAAGAAAAUUCGAUUCCCUUAGUAGCGGCGAGCGAAACGGGAAGAGCCCAAACCAACAAGCUUGCUUGUUGGGGUUGUAGGACACUCUGUACGGAGUUACAAAGGACGACAUUAGACGAAUCAUCUGGAAAGAUGAAUCAAAGAAGGUAAUAAUCCUGUAGUCGAAAAUGUUGUCUCUCUUGAGUGGAUCCUGAGUAAGACGGAGCACGUGAAAUUCCGUCGGAAUCUGGGAGGACCAUCUCCUAAGGCUAAAUACUCUCUAGUGACCGAUAGUGAACCAGUACCGUGAGGGAAAGGUGAAAAGCACCCCGGAAGGAGAGUGAAAUAGAACCUGAAACCGUGUGCUUACAAGUAGUCAGAGCCCGUUAAUGGGUGAUGGCGUGCCUUUUGUAGAAUGAACCGGCGAGUUACGAUUUGAUGCAAGGUUAAGCAGUAAAUGUGGAGCCGUAGCGAAAGCGAGUCUGAAUAGGGCGUUUAGUAUUUGGUCGUAGACCCGAAACCAGGUGAUCUACCCUUGGUCAGGUUGAAGUUCAGGUAACACUGAAUGGAGGACCGAACCGACUUACGUUGAAAAGUGAGCGGAUGAACUGAGGGUAGCGGAGAAAUUCCAAUCGAACCUGGAGAUAGCUGGUUCUCUCCGAAAUAGCUUUAGGGCUAGCCUCAAGUGAUGAUUAUUGGAGGUAGAGCACUGUUUGGACGAGGGGCCCCUCUCGGGUUACCGAAUUCAGACAAACUCCGAAUGCCAAUUAAUUUAACUUGGGAGUCAGAACAUGGGUGAUAAGGUCCGUGUUCGAAAGGGAAACAGCCCAGACCACCAGCUAAGGUCCCAAAAUAUAUGUUAAGUGGAAAAGGAUGUGGCGUUGCCCAGACAACUAGGAUGUUGGCUUAGAAGCAGCCAUCAUUUAAAGAGUGCGUAAUAGCUCACUAGUCGAGUGACACUGCGCCGAAAAUGUACCGGGGCUAAACAUAUUACCGAAGCUGUGGAUUGUCCUUUGGACAAUGGUAGGAGAGCGUUCUAAGGGCGUUGAAGCAUGAUCGUAAGGACAUGUGGAGCGCUUAGAAGUGAGAAUGCCGGUGUGAGUAGCGAAAGACGGGUGAGAAUCCCGUCCACCGAUUGACUAAGGUUUCCAGAGGAAGGCUCGUCCGCUCUGGGUUAGUCGGGUCCUAAGCUGAGGCCGACAGGCGUAGGCGAUGGAUAACAGGUUGAUAUUCCUGUACCACCUAUAAUCGUUUUAAUCGAUGGGGGGACGCAGUAGGAUAGGCGAAGCGUGCGAUUGGAUUGCACGUCUAAGCAGUAAGGCUGAGUAUUAGGCAAAUCCGGUACUCGUUAAGGCUGAGCUGUGAUGGGGAGAAGACAUUGUGUCUUCGAGUCGUUGAUUUCACACUGCCGAGAAAAGCCUCUAGAUAGAAAAUAGGUGCCCGUACCGCAAACCGACACAGGUAGUCAAGAUGAGAAUUCUAAGGUGAGCGAGCGAACUCUCGUUAAGGAACUCGGCAAAAUGACCCCGUAACUUCGGGAGAAGGGGUGCUCUUUAGGGUUAACGCCCAGAAGAGCCGCAGUGAAUAGGCCCAAGCGACUGUUUAUCAAAAACACAGGUCUCUGCUAAACCGUAAGGUGAUGUAUAGGGGCUGACGCCUGCCCGGUGCUGGAAGGUUAAGAGGAGUGGUUAGCUUCUGCGAAGCUACGAAUCGAAGCCCCAGUAAACGGCGGCCGUAACUAUAACGGUCCUAAGGUAGCGAAAUUCCUUGUCGGGUAAGUUCCGACCCGCACGAAAGGCGUAACGAUUUGGGCACUGUCUCAACGAGAGACUCGGUGAAAUCAUAGUACCUGUGAAGAUGCAGGUUACCCGCGACAGGACGGAAAGACCCCGUGGAGCUUUACUGUAGCCUGAUAUUGAAAUUCGGCACAGCUUGUACAGGAUAGGUAGGAGCCUUUGAAACGUGAGCGCUAGCUUACGUGGAGGCGCUGGUGGGAUACUACCCUAGCUGUGUUGGCUUUCUAACCCGCACCACUUAUCGUGGUGGGAGACAGUGUCAGGCGGGCAGUUUGACUGGGGCGGUCGCCUCCUAAAAGGUAACGGAGGCGCUCAAAGGUUCCCUCAGAAUGGUUGGAAAUCAUUCAUAGAGUGUAAAGGCAUAAGGGAGCUUGACUGCGAGACCUACAAGUCGAGCAGGGUCGAAAGACGGACUUAGUGAUCCGGUGGUUCCGCAUGGAAGGGCCAUCGCUCAACGGAUAAAAGCUACCCCGGGGAUAACAGGCUUAUCUCCCCCAAGAGUUCACAUCGACGGGGAGGUUUGGCACCUCGAUGUCGGCUCAUCGCAUCCUGGGGCUGUAGUCGGUCCCAAGGGUUGGGCUGUUCGCCCAUUAAAGCGGUACGCGAGCUGGGUUCAGAACGUCGUGAGACAGUUCGGUCCCUAUCCGUCGUGGGCGUAGGAAAUUUGAGAGGAGCUGUCCUUAGUACGAGAGGACCGGGAUGGACAUACCUCUGGUGUACCAGUUGUCGUGCCAACGGCAUAGCUGGGUAGCUAUGUGUGGACGGGAUAAGUGCUGAAAGCAUCUAAGCAUGAAGCCCCCCUCAAGAUGAGAUUUCCCAACUUCGGUUAUAAGAUCCCUCAAAGAUGAUGAGGUUAAUAGGUUCGAGGUGGAAGCAUGGUGACAUGUGGAGCUGACGAAUACUAAUCGAUCGAAGACUUAAUCAA
rnacentral:rRNA from 1 species